rnacentral:rRNA from 1 species
UACGGGGGGGGCAAGCGUUGUUCGGAAUUACUGGGCGUAAAGGGCUCGUAGGCGGCCAACUAAGUCAUACGUGAAAUCCCUCAGCUUAACUGGGGAACUGCGUGUGAUACUGGAUGGCUUGGAUUUGGGAGAGGGAUGCGGAAUUCCAGGUGUAGCGGUGAAAUGCGUAGAUAUCUGGAGGAACACCGGUGGCGAAGGCGGCAUCCUGGGCCAGUACUGACGCUGAGGAGCGAAAGCGUGGGGAGCAAACAGG